UUCAGCGUGACGGGUGACCAGGUAGAGGCCGUCGUGAGUUACGCCGUUCGAAAGGGCGACGUCAGCAACCCGAGCCCUUACCUCUCCGAGAUGCUGAGAAUCAGCGGUCUUGAUUUCACCACUACAAUCACAACCACAAGCUCAUCCACAACCACAAUUGCAGCUACAACCACAACUCCACCCACAACCCUAUCUACUACAACGACUUCUCCAGUAGCAACAGGGUUUCCUAUCAGUAUUGGAUCAGUGCUCAUCUCCAUUCGUCUGGUGUUUGAAACCAUAUUGCCAGCACCCUCUGAAACCAACGUGCUCAGUGUGGCACACAAUCUGUUUAACUUCAAACUCAGAUCCUUGGACAAUCCACAGAUGGUGCAGAAUAUUACUUAUGAAAAGUUAUCCAACCACUCCUUUGCUCUCAAAUUUGUGUUUGCAAUCAACAACGUCAACAUCUCUCAGAAUAACCAGAUCAUGAAUUCCACUUACAUCCAGAUCCAGGACUCCAUCAAUACUUUGCUGAAUAAAAUACUGAACAAUGCAACAGCAAAUCCUUUUGUCUUUCCACCAGCAAACUUCACUCUUAUCACGAUGAGUAACCAGAUACAAGCUGAUGUAAUCUAUAUCUUCAAAGAAGGAGACAUCACUAACCCGACCCCCUUCCUUUCUGGAAUCCUGAUAGCCAGUGGUCUGAGUGUUACCACGACUACAACACCCAUCCUUCUGCUCACCACCCCCCUGGGCAACGUCACCACUGCAGGAAGUAGUGCAUGGAUCUUAGGCUUCAUUAUCCCAUGUGGUAUCAUUAUCAUUCUCCUGCCUUUCUGGAUUUUGCUCUGUUGCCUGCUGACCGGUGGCUGUGCUGCCAUUAGGAGGCGCUGGCAGAGAAGACGUACUUUCAACAUUCAGUACAGACUUCACAACCACCUCUUCUGAACAAAUAGAAGCUGCUUUGGGUGUGGUCAUCAGUCAUACCAUCUGCUCAUUAUGUUUUCUUCACAGUAUGAAAAUGUUUUCAAACUAUACAUUUAUACCAUUAUAUAUGUUUACUCAUAUGUUUUCUCAUUUAAGACUGAUUUUAUAAUACACACACACACACACACACACACACACACACACACACAUUUUCAGAACCGCUUGUCCCAGAUGGGGUCGCGGGGAACCGGAGUCUACCCGGCAACACAGGGCUUAAGGCCAGAGGGGGAGGGGACACACCCAGGACGGGAUGCCAGUCCGCCGCAAGGCACCCCAAGCGGGACUCAAACCCCAGACCCACUGGAAAGCAGGACCCGGUCCAACCCACUGCGCCCCCUGAUUUUAUAAUAUAACAUUUUAAAUUUAGCUGGAAUCUGAAAUGUAUUUAAGUUAACAAGGUUUUUAUGUUGUAUUCUUUUAUUGAGACAAGUGACAAAUUAGCAAAAUAAAAUCUAUUUA
rnacentral:lncRNA from 1 species